rnacentral:lncRNA from 1 species
CGAGGCGAACUGCGGAGGUUCUCUGAAAGUUUUUUUUUCUUUUUUGUAUUGGGCCACCCGCGAGGCCCGCGAGUCCACGCUCGCAGGCUCGCAGCAUGCGACAGCAACCGUGUUCUUUUGGGCCGAAUUAUUCGCAAAUCGCGUUUAAUUCGCGAAUAAUUACUUUUACCCAAAAAAACGUGACUUUUUUCGAAUUUUUGGAAAAAAUACGAAAACGGCUGUUUUAUUCGGCUUUUCAAAAAUUCGCGAAUAAUUCGCGAAUUAACUAACUAUGCAUGGAAGAGACGAAGAAGAUGACGAUGAAGAAAGAAAAAGGGGGAGAGAGAGAGAGAGAGGGGAGGGGCGAAAAAGGUGAAGUAUGCGCUGGGUAUCGAGAGGACGAGUGCGGAGACGAGACGGAUAUAUUUUAAUCAAAAAANUUAUCGGUUUAGUUUUAUCCCUACUAUUCUGUUGUUAUAGCUUAGUCAGUUUAUAUGGUUCAGUAUUUUUAUUACUUUGGAAUAUGUGGACUUUCAUGAAUAUAAUAAAAGAAUUUCUGGAUUUGGUAAAAUAAAAGGUUUUCUACCCCUCGUGGUAGCUUUUAUAAAAGAUAAAAGUUUUCGCGUAUGGAACAGUUUUUAAAAGGUUUUUCGUGGACUUUUGUUUAAAUAUCGAAUGUAAAACUACGGUGUGAAUGGUGAAUGUAUGAAUGUAUAGCUAUCUGUAUAUUCAUUUAGUUGUGGUUGUAUACUGUUUGUACUUUUGUACUUGUGCGACGCCGUGCAAAUGCAGGGGAGAUUCUGUUCGUGUGAACAGUGGAUUCCCUGUAUUUGUGGCGGAUCUGACAUACUCUGGGGUCAGGUGUUUCAAAAAAAAAAAAAUUUAGUCGUUUUCGCUGUUUUUCCAAACUAAAAAGGGACCCCGGGGCGUGACAAACUCGACCGCAUCCUUCUUAAGACGGGUUCUUUUCAGAUUUUUUUUUUUUUUUUUUUUGUGUUUUGGGGGGAUUUGUUACAAUUGUAAGGAAAUUGAUGUGUAAGUUGAUUUAGACUCACAUGAUCUCAUUCUGAUUCCAUAGUAUGGCGUAAUUGUGAAAAGCCGCGGUGGGAUCGAACCACAAGUGGAACUUCAUCUCCCUGCCGAUGAUCCGGCCGUCUCCGCUGCCCCUGACGUAGACAUUCGUCUGCAACGUAUACGGCCUCCCCGGGGUCGUCCCGAGAAACUCGAUGUCGACCUCGUCGUGGUACCCGGGAUGGACUUGAUUGUUCGAAAGCUGCAACGAAAUUUAAUUUUUUUUUUUCAUUCAAAAAAUAAAAAUUAUAAACCAGCUGCAUUUGAAACUUUNGGAGAGAGAGAGAGAGGGGAGGGGCGAAAAAGGUGAAGUAUGCGCUGGGUAUCGAGAGGACGAGUGCGGAGACGGGACAGAUAUAUUUUAAUCAAAAAAAAAAGUUAAUGACCCGAUUUGGAUUUGAACUCCCGUUUGCGUGUACCCUUAGUAUAGGUAGUCGGUAGGGAUGUAAUGUGUUCCGAGCCAAUUCGUGCCGAAGGGCGGCCCAGCCCGACCCGGUUCUUAAUCCGGGCCGUGCCGUGUCGGCCCGAUUAUAUGAAGUAGGAGGCCGACCCGACCCCCUGGCCGUGCCGGGCCGGGCCGGGCUUCGUGCCAGGCUACCACCUACCUGGCGCCAGGCACAGUUUUUUUUAGAAAUUUUUUUUUCAGAAAAAGAGAUAAUUCGUUUUUAAAUUAUAAUUUGACUUAUAGCUUACUUUAUACAAUUAUACCCAACUUUUUACAAACUAUUGUAUUAAAUAUUUUUAAUACUUUUUUAUUAUUUGAAGAAAAGUUAAUAUUUUUAAAAAGUAAUUACAACAAAUAUAUAAAGUUUGUAUUAAUUAUAUUACAUAAAGUUUUUAUUUUUAAAAAAAAUUUAUUUUUUUUAAGAAAAAGAGUUUGAAUUAUAACUUUUUGACUUAUAAAUUUUAAUUUACACAAUUAUACCUAACCUUUUAAAACUCAUUUAAAAUUUUUAUAAAAUUAAAAAAAUAAAACACAAAUAAUAAAAUUGGUAUUUGAAUUAGUCAUAUUAUAUAAUUACAUUAGAGAAAUAUAUAAAAAUUCAAAAAAUCAAAAAUAUAUUUAAAAUAAAAUGGUAUUGUUUAUACAACCAAUUAACAAACAAUAGAGAAAAAAAAAUUCAACAUAAUUUUUUUCUUCAUUACAUCAUUUUUUCACUUAAAAAAUAAAUAUAUCUGCUAAAAAGCGGUACCAAAUAAAAAA